rnacentral:rRNA from 1 species
AGUACCGUGAGGGAAAGUUGCAAAGUACUUUGAAGAGAGAGUUUAAGAGGGCGUGAAACCGCAAAGGAGGAAGCAAAUAAUGUUGACAUGACUAUUGACAUUCAGCUUAUUCACUCGAUGUCGUUGUGCUAGUCUACUGCCUUCGGUGGUCAGUCUGGUGUGAGAUGUCGUUUGGGUGAGUGCACUUGUCGGUAGCGGCGCUGAGACGUUUGUUACUGUUGUCUGAAGGUAAAUGCGGUUGGUGUACUUUCGGGUAUUUCCUGCAUUGCUGUAGGUCAAUCGGUGGUAAAUGAGAUGCUUGAGUACGUCUAGCUAGUUGCACUAUGUAGUUGGGCUAGUAGGUCUGACUUGGCGGACGCAUGCGUCCUGUCAUUCUCAGGCUUGCUGGUGUGGCUGCAUUAGUACAGACGUAAUUCUCGGUGUAAGAGUCAAUCAAUUAUUUGACCCGUCUUGAAACACGGACCAAGGAGUUUAGCAUUCGUGCGAGUAGUUGGAUGAAAAGUCUGAAUGCGCAAUGAAAGUGAAGGUCGGUGUAUGCUGGCUGAUAUGAGAUCGUGGGCUCGUCCUGCGAGCAUCAUAGUCCCGUUUC